rnacentral:lncRNA from 1 species
CAACAUAAAUAAAAUAAAUAAUUAGUCGGUGGGUAUUGUGUGAAAUUAGUUCAUACGUCAAGGCCAGUAUAUUCAAUCCCAGUACCAAAAAAUUAUAAAAUGCACCAUUAAUAAAUAAAUUAUUACAGUUGCGAUUGGCUGCAAAUCAUGUGAUUUGCACAAAUUAUCAGAGUAUUUUAUACUUUACAAAUUAUCAUGACUAAUUCAAUGCGACUAACUAAUUAUCAAUACAAUCAAAAUCCAAAAUGAAAAUGGGAAUGGUACUAUUAUUAGGUUGACAAUUACUGGUCGAAGAGAUAAAAAUAAAAUAUUAAAAGAGGAUGGUCAAUUAUUGAAAAAAGGUCCAAGAUUUACAAAAUAAAAUAUUAAAAGAGGAUUCAAAUUAUUGAAAAAAUAAGGUACCAAAUUUACAAUCCAAAUUAACUAGUCAUUGGUUCAAUUAAUAAAUUAAAUGGACAAACCCAACAAAUAAAGAUGUUAAAAUAAAUCGUCCCAAUCUUAAAAAAAAUGCAGCCCACUUAUUAAACAAGAGCCCAAACAAAAUUAAAUAGAUAGGGACCAAACAUAAACGUCAAAUUUUGAAAAUUCUUAAAAGAGAAAAAAAAAAAAAAAA